AGGCCUAUAACUCAGCGGUUAGAGUAUUCCAUUGAUAAUGGAAAAGCCAAAAGUUCAAAUCUUUUUAGGCCU
rnacentral:tRNA from 1 species